rnacentral:pre_miRNA from 14 species
GCGCAUAGGCACUCUGAUUGUCUGCGCAUCUGCAGAUUGCAAUGACAUCAUUGUAAUCUGCAGAUGCGCAGACAAUCAGAGUGCCAACUCUGU